ACAGAGGUAGUAAUCUGCUGUGGUUUUUGCUAAAACUAUUUAAGUAGUUAGCUCUGUUGAAAACAUGUCAUGGACAAGAUUAGAAAUUUUCAUUUAUGCAUUGCCCUUGUUUUAUGGAGGUUGGAAUGACCCAAGACUCAUAUGGUCAAUUUUGUGAUGUAAUAAAUGCAUAUCUGGAGCCAAAAUGUCACUCGCCUGAUUAGGAAGCUGUGCGGAGGUAAAAGAGUUCGUGGAAUACUACUUCACCAUAUUGUUUAUUUAUCUUAGAUAGUUAGGUUCACGUUCGGCCCCAAUUAUUGAAAUGAUGCUUUGCUUUCGGAAUGCACUCGACUUAUCACUUUUGGGUGAUUCAUGGGGAAAUGAUAAUAGGCAGUUGCUAAAUGGUUUUGUGCUGAAGAUUUGUUUCUUCAAUCUCCAUAAGGUACGUGAACAACAUCCAUUUUUGCGCCUACAGCUUGAACAAAUAUGUGAGGAAUAUUUUGAUUGGAGCCCGGAGAAAACUGAUCAAUAUAUACUUCCCAAGAUUGCUGAGAGAGAACUUCGGAGGUUUUUAGACCUUCACUCUGCAUCAUCAGCGGUAGGAAUAAAGCCCUUGUUGAGUGAGUACCAUGGCUUGUAUGUGCAAUUUUAAAGCAGAGAAAAGUUCAUGUGAAAAAUGUUAUGAGGUUUCGUGGAGAAAUAUAGAUGGGCUUCAAGUUUCAGUUGUUCCUGGGGAUCUUGUUAGAGGGCAGUAAUAAUUCUCCUCUCUAAUCCUGCAAUAGUAACAGUGAUUGUAGGCAUGUAGCAGUUUUUGGGAUCUACACAGGAGCAUUGGGUGUGUGGGGCAACCAAGCUAAGGCUGGGAGGCUAGAGGAGUAGGAGGGAGAGCGACGGCUUGGUCAUGACUAUGGUGACGACAGUGACCCAUCGCGGUAGCUGUGCCAAGUACGAAGCAAGAACACAUAAUUGUAUUUCUGCAACAUAUCAUCAGGGCUAAUAAGGGUGCUGCUGUACAUCACUGCAUGGUCCAAGAAAUGGGGACAUGUACUCCUUGCCACGGUCGGUGUACCCUCUUGUUCGUUGGCGCUAUGGCAAGGCAGCCAAAGGGAGUUAGCUACCUAUGGACUUUUCAUGGCAGAGCGACGAAAACUCUUACCACGUGU